rnacentral:rRNA from 1 species
UAACACGUAGGGGCCAAGCGUUGUCCGGAUUUAUUGGGCGUAAAGAGCUCGUAGGCGGCUUCGUAAGUCGGGUGUGAAAACCCCAGGCUCAACCUGGGGACGCCACCCGAUACUGCGAUGGCUAGAGUCCGGUAGGGGAGCGCGGAAUUCCUGGUGUAGCGGUGAAAUGCGCAGAUAUCAGGAGGAACACCGGUGGCGAAGGCGGCGCUCUGGGCCGGAACUGACGCUGAGGAGCGAAAGCGUGGGGAGCAAACAGGAUUAGAUACCCUGGUAGUCCACGCCGUAAACGUUGGGCACUAGGUGUGGGGCGUUAUCAACGCGUCCUGUGCCGUAGCUAACGCAUUAAGUGCCCCGCCUGGGGAGUACGGCCGCAAGGCUA